UUAUCCUACGGGAGGCAGCAGUGAGGAAUAUUGGUCAAUGGGAGAGAUCCUGAACCAGCCAAGCCGCGUGAGGGAAGACGGCCCUAUGGGUUGUAAACCUCUUUUGUCGGAGAACAAAACCCGGGACGUGUCCCGGACUGCGUGUAUCCGAAGAAAAAGCAUCGGCUAACUCCGUGCCAGCAGCCGCGGUAAUACGGAGGAUGCGAGCGUUAUCCGGAUUUAUUGGGUUUAAAGGGAGCGUAGGCCGGCUUUUAAGUCAGCUGUGAAAGUCCGCGGCUCAACCGUGGAAUUGCAGUUGAAACUGG
rnacentral:rRNA from 1 species